rnacentral:rRNA from 1 species
GAUGAACGCUGGCGGCGUGCCUAAUACAUGCAAGUCGAGCGAACAGACGAGGAGCUUGCUCCUCUGACGUUAGCGGCGGACGGGUGAGUAACACGUGGAUCACCUCCCUAUAAGACUGGGAUCUCUUCGGGAAACCGGCGCUAAUACCGGAUAAUAUAUUGAACCGCAUGGUUCAAUAGUGAAAGACGGUUUUGCUGUCUCUUCUAGAUGGAUCCGCGCCUCAUUAGCUAGUUGGUAAGGUAACGGCUUACCAAGGGUACGAUGCGUAGCCGACCGCAGAGAGUGGUCGGCCACACUGGAGCUGAGACACGGUCCAGACGCCUACGGGAGGCAGCAGAAGGGAAUCUUACGCAGUGGGCGAAAACAUGACGGAGCAACGCCGCGUGAGAGAUGAAGGUCUUCGGAUCGUAAAACUCUGUUAUUAGGGAAGAACAAAUGUGUAAUUAACUAUGCACGUCGUGACGGUACCGAAUAAGAAAGCCACGGCUAACUACGUG